UCCUAGCCCCGAUAGUAGCGGCAUCCUUUAUGUUCUUUCUUUAAGAUCAUAAAGAUACAGCGAAUAGCGGGAAUCAGC
rnacentral:sRNA from 1 species